rnacentral:rRNA from 1 species
GCGAUACAGGGUGACAGCCCCGUACACAAAAAUGCACAUAUUGUGAGCUCGAUGAGUAGGGCGGGACACGUGGUAUCCUGUCUGAAUAUGGGGGGACCAUCCUCCAAGGCUAAAUACUCCUGACUGACCGAUAGUGAACCAGUACCGUGAGGGAAAGGCGAAAAGAACCCCGGCGAGGGGAGUGAAAAAGAACCUGAAACCGUGUACGUACAAGCAGUGGGAGCCUCUUUUAUGGGGUGACUGCGUACCUUUUGUAUAAUGGGUCAGCGACUUAUAUUCUGUAGCAAGGUUAACCGAAUAGGGGAGCCGAAGGGAAACCGAGUCUUAACUGGGCGUUAAGUUGCAGGGUAUAGACCCGAAACCCGGUGAUCUAGCCAUGGGCAGGUUGAAGGUUGGGUAACACUAACUGGAGGACCGAACCGACUAAUGUUGAAAAAUUAGCGGAUGACUUGUGGCUGGGGGUGAAAGGCCAAUCAAACCGGGAGAUAGCUGGUUCUCCCCGAAAGCUAUUUAGGUAGCGCCUCGUGAAUUCAUCUCCGGGGGUAGAGCACUGUUUCGGCAAGGGGGUCAUCCCGACUUACCAACCCGAUGCAAACUGCGAAUACCGGAGAAUGUUAUCACGGGAGACACACGGCGGGUGCUAACGUCCGUCGUGAAGAGGGAAACAACCCAGACCGCCAGCUAAGGUCCCAAAGUCAUGGUUAAGUGGGAAACGAUGUGGGAAGGCCCAGACAGCCAGGAUGUUGGCUUAGAAGCAGCCAUCAUUUAAAGAAAGCGUAAUAGCUCACUGGUCGAGUCGGCCUGCGCGGAAGAUGUAACGGGGCUAAACCAUGCACCGAAGCUGCGGCAGCGACACUAUGUGUUGUUGGGUAGGGGAGCGUUCUGUAAGCCUGUGAAGGUGUACUGUGAGGUAUGCUGGAGGUAUCAGAAGUGCGAAUGCUGACAUAAGUAACGAUAAAGCGGGUGAAAAGCCCGCUCGCCGGAAGACCAAGGGUUCCUGUCCAACGUUAAUCGGGGCAGGGUGAGUCGACCCCUAAGGCGAGGCCGAAAGGCGUAGUCGAUGGGAAACAGGUUAAUAUUCCUGUACUUGGUGUUACUGCGAAGGGGGGACGGAGAAGGCUAUGUUGGCCGGGCGACGGUUGUCCCGGUUUAAGCGUGUAGGCUGGUUUUCCAGGCAAAUCCGGAAAAUCAAGGCUGAGGCGUGAUGACGAGGCACUACGGUGCUGAAGCAACAAAUGCCCUGCUUCCAGGAAAAGCCUCUAAGCAUCAGGUAACAUCAAAUCGUACCCCAAACCGACACAGGUGGUCAGGUAGAGAAUACCAAGGCGCUUGAGAGAACUCGGGUGAAGGAACUAGGCAAAAUGGUGCCGUAACUUCGGGAGAAGGCACGCUGAUAUGUAGGUGAAGUCCCUCGCGGAUGGAGCUGAAAUCAGUCGAAGAUACCAGCUGGCUGCAACUGUUUAUUAAAAACACAGCACUGUGCAAACACGAAAGUGGACGUAUACGGUGUGACGCCUGCCCGGUGCCGGAAGGUUAAUUGAUGGGGUCAGCGCAAGCGAAGCUCUUGAUCGAAGCCCCGGUAAACGGCGGCCGUAACUAUAACGGUCCUAAGGUAGCGAAAUUCCUUGUCGGGUAAGUUCCGACCUGCACGAAUGGCGUAAUGAUGGCCAGGCUGUCUCCACCCGAGACUCAGUGAAAUUGAACUCGCUGUGAAGAUGCAGUGUACCCGCGGCAAGACGGAAAGACCCCGUGAACCUUUACUAUAGCUUGACACUGAACAUUGAGCCUUGAUGUGUAGGAUAGGUGGGAGGCUUUGAAGUGUGGACGCCAGUCUGCAUGGAGCCGACCUUGAAAUACCACCCUUUAAUGUUUGAUGUUCUAACGUGGACCCGUGAUCCGGGUUGCGGACAGUGUCUGGUGGGUAGUUUGACUGGGGCGGUCUCCUCCUAAAGAGUAACGGAGGAGCACGAAGGUUGGCUAAUCCUGGUCGGACAUCAGGAGGUUAGUGCAAUGGCAUAAGCCAGCUUGACUGCGAGCGUGACGGCGCGAGCAGGUGCGAAAGCAGGUCAUAGUGAUCCGGUGGUUCUGAAUGGAAGGGCCAUCGCUCAACGGAUAAAAGGUACUCCGGGGAUAACAGGCUGAUACCGCCCAAGAGUUCAUAUCGACGGCGGUGUUUGGCACCUCGAUGUCGGCUCAUCACAUCCUGGGGCUGAAGUAGGUCCCAAGGGUAUGGCUGUUCGCCAUUUAAAGUGGUACGCGAGCUGGGUUUAGAACGUCGUGAGACAGUUCGGUCCCUAUCUGCCGUGGGCGCUGGAGAAUUGAGGGGGGCUGCUCCUAGUACGAGAGGACCGGAGUGGACGCAUCACUGGUGUUCGGGUUGUCAUGCCAAUGGCACUGCCCGGUAGCUAAAUGCGGAAGAGAUAAGUGCUGAAAGCAUCUAAGCACGAAACUUGCCCCGAGAUGAGUUCUCCCUGACCCUUUAAGGGUCCUGAAGGAACGUUGAAGACGACGACGUUGAUAGGCCGGGUGUGUAAGCGCAGCGAUGCGUUGAGCUAACCGGUACUAAUGAACCGUGAGGCUUAACCUUACAACGCCGAAG